UCUGGAGGCGUCUGUCUACAUGUGGAUAAGAACCAUGUCUCAGUGGAAUUCUGCACUAAAUGUGCGGAAAGUGCCAGCACAACCUUUAAAAUGUAGGGUCAAGUAACUUACUCUUUUCUCCCUCCAGAGGUCUUGAGACUGAACUUGAUGGGGAAAAAGUUGUCAGUGAACUACAGGGGACAAUGAUAUGAACUUGAUCAGAUUUGUUUAGAUGCUUAUAAGUUUUAAAACUGGUAUGAGGCAGAGGGUAUCUACAAUUGGUGUAUUUUUUCUUUAAAAAAAAAAAAAUACAAGUUACUGCUAAACCUGUUGACAGUUUUUUUUCUAGGUGAUUGUUCUGCCAUGGCGGAUUGGUGGGUUACUGAACAUCCACGACAUCAUGACUCCAUGUGGAUUCUGCUCUGGGGGAAGCUGAAGAAAGCGGGACCACCAGCUGGCAUCUUGGCCUGAUAUUUUUUAAAAGCAUGUUUGCCAAGCAUCCUCUAAUCUUUUCCUUCAUCACAAUGAAUAAACUUGGGGUAAUGGUAUUUUAAAACA
rnacentral:lncRNA from 1 species